rnacentral:tRNA from 1 species
AGCCUCAUAGUGUAAUGGUAACACCGCAGAUUUUGAUUCUGUUAUUCAAGGUUCGAGCCCUUGUGAGGCUA